UACGAAGGGUGCAAACGUUGCUCGGAAUCAUUGGGCGUAAAGCGCACGUAGGCGGCUUGCCAAGUCGGACGUGAAAUCCCUCAGCCUCAACUGAGGACGUGCAUCCGAAACUGGCGAGCUUGAGUACUGAAGAGGAUCGCGGAAUUCCCGGUGUAGAGGUGAAAUUCGUAGAUAUCGGGAGGAACACCAGUGGCGAAGGCGGCGAUCUGGGCAGAUACUGACGCUGAGGUGCGAAAGCGUGGGGAGCAAACAGG
rnacentral:rRNA from 1 species